GAUGAAGAACGUAGCGAAAUGCGAUAAGUAAUGUGAAUUGCAGAAUUCAGUGAAUCAUCGAAUCUUUGAACGCACAUUGCGCCCCCUGGUAUUCCGGGGGGCAUGCCUGUUCGAGCGUCAUUUCACCACUCAAGCCUCGCUUGGUAUUGGGCGACGCGGUCCGCCGCGCGCCUCAAAUCGACCGGCUGGGUCUUUCGUCCCCUCAGCGUUGUGGAAACUAUUCGCUAAAGGGUGCCGCGGGAGGCCACGCCGUAAAACAACCCCAUUUCUAAGGUUGACCUCGGAUCAGGUAGGGAUACCCGCUGAACUUAAGCAUAUCAAUAAGCGGAGG
rnacentral:misc_RNA from 1 species